UUUUUUCACUCUCGUCUGGCCUGUUUAGAAGUCAGCUUUCUUCUCCUCAAGGGGAAAAACACAGUCGCAGUACAAAAUAAUGAUUUUGUAAAAGCUUUACUUCCAAGUAGCCUCUGAAGGGGAAAACCAGAUCAGUUUCCAUUGACCUUUUAAAACUAAUGAGUAAUUUAUUUUCAACGCGGUAGUCAACUCACGAUGCAGCCACGAAUCAGUUGGUGGUUAAACAGUGUCCCUUCCUCUUUGCUGAGGCGUUAUUUUUAUAUAAGAGAAAGAACAUUUCUGACUAUAAUUUAGUUCAGUUCCCCUGAAAGAUUUCUUCAAGUCAUUUGUCAUCUUUAUUUUCUGUUUUCCGCAAACUGUGAGACACUUCAGAUUGGAAAACAGUGGAGCGCUACUAACUUAUUAAUUAUGCUUUGUUGCUACAACCUGCUACACACACACAUGCGUAUUUUCUUGUGCAAGUUUUUUUCAUUCCUGGGUGAUUUAGCGUUUCACAUCCAGUGCAUCCGUUUGAACUAUCACCAAAGAUAGUGAGGCAUUCAAAAGUACAAGUUCCUCUUCUGCACCACCAACUGAACUUGUUGAGCAUCUUGCGGCACAAGAUCUUCUUGAGUGCCGUUUUUCAGCACAUACGUUUCCUUCUCAAGGGUUGAUAACACAUCAAAGGACUUCUUCCAUGUCGCAAGACAUCUUAUGGUGACUUCCCGCAGCUGCAGCUAUGGCGGGGUGUUUCUGGUCCAGGGAGCGAGCCGCCACUCUCUGAACUUUGAGGCGGCUCGAAAUGUGUGCGUCCAGCUGGAGAGCGUCUUGGCGAGUGAAGCACAAGUCAAGAUGGCCUAUGAUAAGAAGAUGGAAACAUGCAGAAACGGCUGGACCAACAAUAUGACCAUUGCCAUACUCAGACACUCACACCAUGCAAACUGUGCACAGAACGCGACGGGCUUCUUUAUUCAACAACAACAACAAGACCUCUAUGAUGCAUACUGCUUCGAUGAACAUGCUGAACCUGAGAAGAACUGUACGAAAGAAUUCGUACUAAAACCAGCUGAGCCCUCAUCACAGCCAGAGGACCCAACAAUAACAGGAAGCCAGGAAGAAAUCACCUCAGCAGCCGAACCAGUGGAUGUGUAUGAAAAGUACACAGUCAGUCAAAACACAGAGACCCCGGCCACCUCGGAGACCCCGGCAGUGAAAGAAAACCCCUCUGGAGGGAGUGACAGCAGUAACGGGUCCACACUCACUACGUGGGACGACCAGACCACUGGCUCCGGGGCGAUGGCUACCACCUCUGAGGAGGAGGAAGCCCCCCCCGCCGACUGA
ensembl:lncRNA